UCGUGCUGCUCUGGGAGCAGAUUUCAACAUUUUUAGUCCCUGUUGACCUUGGCAUUGGAAGACUCAGGCCUGGGCUGGAGCAAGUCCACAGGCUGGGAAAGGAGCUGCUGGAGCAGGGAGGAGCAACCAGAGCAGGGCUCGGAGCAGCUGGAGCCGUGGCUGGGAAGGGGAGCGUGGUGGGAGAACCCAGUCAGCCACUCCACCCAAACUCUGCCCUCACUUCAGCUGCAUUUCUAUGGAUCAAAAGCAUUAAUGCUUUUAACUCAGUCCUCACUGCCUGAGCUGUGUCUGUGCCUGUUCCAGGUUGUCUCCUCCAAGGUUAAGUGGAGAGUAGAAAAAAGGGAGGAAAGUAGGUGAGUGAAAAGAUCGAGAAAUGGA
rnacentral:lncRNA from 1 species